UCGUCCUCUUCAUUUAUUAUCAUUUUUCAUUGUUUUCGGUUUAAUAAAUAAAAACUUUUAACUCCAUGCCCAUUGCCAAUUUUUCUUUCUCAACCCCGAUUCUUAAACGCCGAAAUUUGGAAUCCUAGAUUUUUCUCUACAGAACUUUUCUUAAUCCACAAGGUUUAGCUACUCUAUGCGAUUCCAUCACGGAUCCGAGUACUUGAGGACUCCACGAAUUAGCUCCAUUUUUCAAAAAGACAGUGGCGGAUUAAGCUACAAAUUUUAGGGUUAUUAUUUGCCUUGUUGAGUUUUAACAAUUUUUCAGGAAACAAAAGUAUGUAUAAAAAAUUACAACCAGAAGUGAACCAAGGUUAUUUUUGCAAGUUGUUAAUACAUAUGCUGUUGUUUUCGUGGUCGGUAUUGGUUGUGGAGGUGAGGCCAAGCUUGCUUUCUGGGGAAUCAGAAAGGUUUCUUUGACAAGAUGUUGACAAGGUAAGGUUGGCAGUUGAUGCUAUAUUAAUGGCUGAGGGUGCUGAACGGAAAGAGCAUAUGGGUAUUAAGGGUUUAACGAAGCUUCUAGCAGACAAUGCACCAAAGGGCAUGAAGGAACAGAAAUUAGAGAGCUAUUUCGGCCGCAAUAUUACCAUCGACGCCAGCAUGAGCAUUUACCAAUUUCUCAUUGUGGUGGAUCGUAUGGGGACUGAAAUGCUCACUAAUGAAGCUGGUGAAGUUACCAGCCAUUUGCAAGGCAUGUUUACUCGGACAAUUCGGCUUCUUGAAGCUGGGCUUAAACCUGUCCUCCAGAUUUGAAAAAACAAGAGCUUGCUAAGCGUUACUCAAAGAGGGCAGAUGCUACUGAGGAUUUGCAAGAAGCCAUGGAGGUAUUUUUCUUUGGUCACACAUAGAGUGAUAAGUAAAGUUUUCUUUUGUUGUUUCACCACUACGGAAAAAUUAAGGUGCUGUUGUUUUUAUUAUUAGACUGGAAAUAAGGAGGACAUUGAAAAAUUAAAUAUGCCAAAAUUUUGUCACCUGUCAGUAGUAGAUACUCGUAGAGUUUAAUCAAUUCAACACUACAAGAAAACAGAAGCGUAUGUAUAAUAACCG